rnacentral:rRNA from 1 species
UUAACAAAAACAUGUCCUUUUGGUUAGUAUUUAAGGUCUAAUCUGCCCUAUGAUUAUUUUUAAAUGGCCGCGAUAUUCUUGAUCGUGCGAAGGUAGCAUAAUCAUUAGUUUUUUAAUUGAAAGCUGGUAUGAAUGAUUGGACAAGAGACUUUCUGUCUCAAAUUUAUUUUUUGAAUUUUAUUUUUUAGUUAAAAAGCUUAAAUUGUUUUGUAAGACGAGAAGACCCUGUAGAGUUUAAUAUUUUUAUUUACAUUUAGAUUUUAGAAUUAAUAUCUUUUUGUUUUAUAAAGUAUUUGGUUGGGGUGACAUAGAAAUUUAUUGAACUUUUUAUUUAUAAAAUAUAGAUUUAUAGAUUGUUGACUUAUAUUAAUAGUUAAAAGACUAAAUUACCUUAGGGAUAACAGCGUAAUUUUUCUAAAGAGUUCAUAUCGAAAGAAGAGAUUGCGACCUCGAUGUUGGAUUAAAGUUAAAAUUUGGUGUAGAAGCUAAAUGGUUUAGUCUGUUCGACUAUUAAAACUUUACAUGAUCUGAGUU